rnacentral:sRNA from 1 species
UCACAGCCAUCAAUGUAUCACGUGACGUU